CUUCAGAAAAAUCUCCUUGUUCAAACUCUUUUUCCACAUGACAUCGAUAAAUUUGAAAGUUUACCUCGGAGUAGAACUGAAAAUCCAUACCCCCAGCAUCGAUGGCCACUGCAACUGGCUGGUUUGCAACAGCUUUAAGCAGAGCAUCCUCGUCGUUUUCGGGCACAUUCUCGUGCCCAUCGAUGGACACUGUUGGAAAAUUGACCUUAGAAACAUCGCAAGUUCCAUCAUCAGCUUUGUAAGGGUAAUUGGAUUCAGUAGUGAUCCCACCAUUCUUCUUGAUGAAAUCAAAGGCCAUGUCCAUUAAUCCGCCAUUGCAACCUUGGUUUUCUUCUGUGUCGCAAUCCACCAAUUCUUGC